rnacentral:rRNA from 1 species
AGAGUUUGAUCAUGGCUCAGGACGAACGCUGGCGGCGUGCUUAACACAUGCAAGUCGAACGGAAAGGCCCUGCUUUUGUGGGGUGCUCGAGUGGCGAACGGGUGAGUAACACGUGAGUAACCUGCCCUUGACUUUGGGAUAACUUCAGGAAACUGGGGCUAAUACCGGAUAGGAGCUCCUGCUGCAUGGUGGGGGUUGGAAAGUUUCGGCGGUUGGGGAUGGACUCGCGGCUUAUCAGCUUGUUGGUGGGGUAGUGGCUUACCAAGGCUUUGACGGGUAGCCGGCCUGAGAGGGUGACCGGCCACAUUGGGACUGAGAUACGGCCCAGACUCCUACGGGAGGCAGCAGUGGGGAAUAUUGCACAAUGGGCGGAAGCCUGAUGCAGCAACGCCGCGUGCGGGAUGACGGCCUUCGGGUUGUAAACCGCUUUCGCCUGUGACGAAGCGUGAGUGACGGUAAUGGGUAAAGAAGCACCGGCUAACUACGUGCCAGCAGCCGCGGUGAUACGUAGGGUGCGAGCGUUGUCCGGAUUUAUUGGGCGUAAAGGGCUCGUAGGUGGUUGAUCGCGUCGGAAGUGUAAUCUUGGGGCUUAACCCUGAGCGUGCUUUCGAUACGGGUUGACUUGAGGAAGGUAGGGGAGAAUGGAAUUCCUGGUGGAGCGGUGGAAUGCGCAGAUAUCAGGAGGAACACCAGUGGCG